rnacentral:misc_RNA from 1 species
CUAGUUUUAGGUUAUCUAGCAUGUGAUAAUAGCGGUACAAACCUGUUAUUUUGAGGAUGUCAGUGAACAAUUCGACAUUAAAGUGGAAAAUGAGUGUUUUUCACGCUUUCGGUUUAUUAUUUUGCCUGGUUGGGGUGUUGUCGGCGCAGUCAUUUCCCGUCGAAAAGAUCGCUGUUGGCGCAAUAUUCGACCAGAACACGGAUG